UACGAAGGGGGCUAGCGUUGUUCGGAAUCACUGGGCGUAAAGGGCGCGUAGGCGGCUUGGCAAGUCAGGUGUGAAAGGCCUGGGCUCAACCCAGGAACUGCACUUGAGACUGCCUCGCUUGAGUCCGGGAGAGGAUGGCGGAAUUCCCAGUGUAGAGGUGAAAUUCGUAGAUAUUGGGAAGAACACCGGUGGCGAAGGCGGCCAUCUGGACCGGUACUGACGCUGAGGCGCGAAAGCGUGGGGAGCAAAC
rnacentral:rRNA from 1 species